rnacentral:rRNA from 1 species
AUUGAACGCUGGCGGCAGGCUUAACACAUGCAAGUCGAGCGGGGUGAUGGUGCUUGCACUAUCACUUAGCGGCGGACGGGCGAGUAAUGCUUAGGAAUCUGCCUAUUAGUGGGGGACAACAUCUCGAAAGGGAUGCUAAUACCGCAUACGUCCUACGGGAGAAAGCAGGGGAUCACUUGUGACCUUGCGCUAAUAGAUGAGCCUAAGUCGGAUUAGCUAGUUGGUGGGGUAAAGGCCUACCAAGGCGACGAUCUGUAGCGGGUCUGAGAGGAUGAUCCGCCACACUGGGACUGAGACGCGGCCCAGACUCCUACGGGAGGCAGCAGUGGGGAAUAUUGGACAAUGGGGGGAACCCUGAUCCAGCCAUGCCGCGUGUGUGGAGAAGGCCUUAUGGUUGUAAAGCACUUUAAGCGAGGAGGAGGCUCUUUUGGUUAAUACCCAAGAUGAGUGGACGUUACUCGCAGAAUAAGCACCGGCUAACUCUGUGCCAGCCGCCGCGGUAA